GGUGGCAUAGCCAAGUGGUAAGGCAGAGGCCUGCAAAGCCUCCAUCCCCCAGUUCGAAUCUGGGUGCCACCU
rnacentral:tRNA from 1 species